rnacentral:lncRNA from 12 species
AUACCACUUCUGAACUCAUAGGUAAAAUCUAUUUGCAAGGCCCCACCCGAUCAUAAAGGAGCCAGAAGGGAAAAAGAACAAGAUAUGGGCCAUAGGAUCCUGCGAACUACAUUUCCCAGAUUCCUUUGCCUGCUGGGUAGAAGCCGUUUAUUUGUUGUUGCAUCUGGCUCCAUCAGCAAUCAUGAGAGCCAACUGCAAGUGAUUAUGGUCUCAAACAGCAGAAAGUCCAGAAACAACCAACAGGAUGUCAUCUUCUGCUCAGGAUAGUAAAGGG